AGUGAACGCUGGCGGUGGGCCUAACACAUGCAAGUCGAACGGAAGCACAGUAAGAGCAUGCUGUUACGGGGGGCGAGAGGCGGACGGGUGAGGAAUAGAAAGGAAUCUAUUAUUUCGCGGGGGAUAACGGAGGGAAACUGAAGCUAAUAGCGAAUACGACCUAAGGGUGAAAGCAGGGGAGCGUGGGACCUGGAGGGACUGGAUGAGCCGAUGUCGGAUUAGCGAGUUGGCGGGGUAAAGGCCCACCAAGGCGACGAUACUUAGCGGGUCUGCGAGGAUGGUCACCCACACUGGAACUGAGACACGGUCCCGACUCCUACGGGAGGCGCCAUUGGGGAAUAUUGGACAAUGGGCGCAAGCCUGCUCCAGCCAUCCCGCGUGGGUGAAGAAGGCCUUCGAUUUGUAAAGCCCUUUUUUUGGGAAAGAAAAGCAUCAGGUUAAUACCCCGCUGUUCUGACGGUACCUAAAGAAUAAGCACCGGCUAACUUCGUG
rnacentral:rRNA from 1 species